AUGGAAGACUCAUUUCUAAAAGCCCAACAUUCCUGAUUGAGAACUGGUCAAGGUGGUCUUACCUGUAAGUUGGAGGAUCUGGAACUGCAGAACCUGUUUUUCUGGAAAGCUAGCUUUGCAUAUGCAACAUCCAAGCAGUAGAAAACAUAGUACUUUUUCUGGAAAUAUGAUAAAUCCGGUUCGAGUUGCAUUGCCGUUGUCUAUAGCUUUGCAAACGGACCAGAACGAGAGUUUACCCGACUCUACAAGGAGUUCCGGUUCAUAUGCUUCAUCAAUUGGAGGUGGUUUCUUGCUAAAACAGCGAAAAGGGGUGGGAAUUAUUGGAGGUGUAUCCGUCGACUCUACUCUCAGUUUUGUCAGGAAACUCGUGGCAUUGAGUUCAGAUGAUGCAGGAGCUGGCCUUUCUUUUGUUUUGUGUUCAGACCCCGGGUUGAACAAGGAGUUAUUGCAUCACCAAAGAAGUUCUUUUUCUAGAACAGAAGGUUUGAAGUUAGAUCACAUGUCGAUUGUGGAAAAUUUGAGGAGUAAAAGGGUUUUCCUUGAAAGUUCUGGAGCUUGCUGCAUUGCGAUACCUUGUCAUAUAUCACAAUUCUGGCAUGAUGAGGUUUCAAAGGGAUGUUCUGUUCCAGUGCUUCAUAUGGGUGAGUGUGUUGCCAGGGAGCUCAAGGAAGCAAAUUUGAGGCCACUUGAAGCUGGAAGUCCUCUACGGAUCGGUGUUCUUUCCACCAGCACAACUUUGUUGACAGGCAUUUAUAAGGACAAACUUCACAAUGAGGGUUUCGAGGUUGUGCUACCGGAUAAAGCAACAAUGGAGCAUACUAUAGACCCUGCAAUUGAAGCUCUGACUAAAAAUGAUGUAGAAGGAGCACAAACUCUUCUAAGAAUUGCCCUACAGGUACUAUUAGUUAGAGCCGUGAACACUGUUAUCCUGGCGUCUGAUGAAUUGCGAGAACUUUUACCUCAAGAUGAUCCCCUACUUAAAAAAUGUAUUGACCCCAUGGAUGCAUUAGCCAGGUCCACUAUCAAGUAUGCUCAGUCAGCUGAAAUAUGUUCAUGAAGAGUACAGAAAGCCAGGUCUGCAAUCAAGUCUGCUCAACCAGCAACUAUAUGUGUAUAGAAUACAGAAAGAAUCUUUUACAGUGUGCCUCAACAUUCACAUAAUCCAUUUGCAAUAAAAGAAAAAACUAUUGAGUUUCAUAACUAGUUCUUAUUAUAUAGCAGUCCUGUAAUUACAGAAUCAAACCUUCUUUUACCUACUGUCCUGCUCGUUUCCAUGAAUUGGGCGAAACAUCUACAAAGUGAAUUCAAUGUAUAAAAUGAUAAUGCUAUAUAUGUUAAUAUAUGCUAUAUAUGUUAAUAUAUACAACUGCAAAUAUAUCUCUAUCUUGCAUUCCUGUAAGUGGUUCUAAAACAUUUUCUUCCAUUAGAACAUUCAUCCUUAUAUAAGUUCUUCAUCAUCAGUUAGAGGAUUUACAUACAUUUUAUAUUAACAUCUUGAUGUUUUUGCAUCCUGCUAGGAAAAGCUUGUAUUAUGAUUGAGCUAUAAUAUGUUUAUAUCCAUGGAUAUCACAAAUUUCAAUAGCAGAUAUUUUUUGCAAUCAUAUUACUUUGAACUAUGUACUUCUUAAAAAUGACUUAUAAGAAUAGGUUGAAAAGCUAUAACCAUUUGGGCUGCAUAGAGGGACUGUAUGAAAAGUUGAAAGAACUAAUGUAUUGUGAACUAGGAUCUGUUACAGAAUUUAAGUUGCAAAUUGUGGAAUGUGUGAACUUAUUAGGAUUACAUCAGUGCAAAUAAUGGUGGACUAGACACAUAUGCAUCCGUUGUUAUCAGCCAAUCAUUUACAUCACAAUAGUAGCUGCUACUGAAUACUGAUUAUGAGCAAUGAUGAGACCACAUAUAAUAAAGUAAAAGCCUCCAAGUUUAUGGAUAGGAUCUGAUCUUUCAUUCUGCAUCUUGCUUCCUGUUGUAAAGUAAGAGCCUCCAGUGUACGGAUAUGAUCUGAUCUUUAAUUUCGCGUCUUUAUUGAGCUGAAACUUAUCUAUACCGUUACCUAUUCUCUGAUGUUGAAGAUAUCAGGUUCAUUAUGUGAUAAGGCAUAUGGAAGACUCAUUCGGUCAUUCCUAAGAGCCCAACAUUCCUGAUGCGAGAACUGGUCAAGGUGAUCUUACCUGUAAGUUGGAGGAUCUGGAACUGCCGAACCUGUUUUUCUGGAAAGCCAGCUUUGCAUAUGCAACAUCCAAUCAGUAGGGUAGUUGUAGAGGGCAUAGGAGACACCAAAAAGCGACAAAAUGAUAGCUAAUCACAUAUCAGGCUGAGAAGGCAUAUCCUCAAUCCAAUCAGCAUAGAUCCCGACGAGCUUAUUCACUGUCUUCCACCUGAUGGAGCAUUCUUCUUUACCUUCCACCUGAGCAACCCCGUUCUUUUCAUCCUUAGCAAUACCAGCAACAGAUCUUAAAGAUUGAUUUUUGUUUCUUGCGCUUGGUCCAGGAAGAAGUUCUGCCAUCAAAUAACUGACAUGAGGCACCUACUUAAAUAUUAAGUUUAUUGAGCCAAAAUAGCUAUUUCAAUUUUCGUACCUAGUGAAUGCCUGGUAAUUGUUUACGUUGUGUAAGCUAUGUACAUUUCACAUAUGCUUCCGAUUCUGGAAGAAGAAAACAUUUCAAGUAA